GACGAACGCUGGCGGCGUGCCUAAUACAUGCAAGUAGAACGCUGAAGGAGGAGCUUGCUCUUCUGGAUGAGUUGCGAACGGGUGAGUAACGCGUAGGUAUCCUGCCUGGUAGCGGGGGAUAACUAUUGGAAACGAUAGCUAAUACCGCAUAACAGUAGAUGUUGCAUGACAUUUACUUAAAAGGUGCAAUUGCAUCACUACCAGAUGGACCUGCGUUGUAUUAGCUAGUUGGUGGGGUAACGGCUCACCAAGGCGACGAUACAUAGCCGACCUGAGAGGGUGAUCGGCCACACUGGGACUGAGACACGGCCCAGACUCCUACGGGAGGCAGCAGUAGGGAAUCUUCGGCAAUGGACGGAAGUCUGACCGAGCAACGCCGCGUGAGUGAAGAAGGUUUUCGGAUCGUAAAGCUCUGUUGUAAGAGAAGAACGAGUGUGAGAGUGGAAAGUUCACACUGUGACGGUAUCUUACCAGAAAGGGACGGCUAACUACGUG
rnacentral:rRNA from 1 species